AACGCACCUUGCGCCUCUUGGCUAUUCCGAGAGGCAUGCCUGUUUGAGUAUCAUGAACACCUCAACUCUCACGGUUUGCCCGUGAUGAGCUUGGACUUCUGGAGGUUUUGCCGGCCUGCGGUCGGCUCCUCUCAAAUCGAUCAGCUUACCAGUGUUUGGUGGCGUCAUGGGUGUGAUAACUAUCUACGCUUGUGGCCGUCCGCCAGGUAACCUUCAGCGAUGGAGGUUUGCUGGGGCUCACAAACGUCUCUCCCCAGCGAAGACAGCUUUUUGAACGUUCGAUCUCAAAUCAGGUAGGACUACCCGCUGAACUUAA
rnacentral:misc_RNA from 2 species